rnacentral:rRNA from 1 species
ACAACCUUAACCUUUUCUCAAACUUUAAAUAUGUAAGAACAAGCCGUCUCUUAAUUGGACCGCUUGCGAUUGAGAGUUUCUAGUGGGCCAUUUUUGGUAAGCAGAACUGGCGAUGCGGGAUGAACCGAUCGUGAGGUUAAGGUGCCGGAAUACACGCUCAUCAGACACCACAAAAGGUGUUAGUACAUCCAGACAGUUGGACGGUGGCCAUGGAAGUCGGAA